UCUGAUGCUUGCUCAGUCUCUUCCAACUGUGUUUUUGCCUUUUACUAUGCCCUAUAGUUUUUUGUUGAAAGGUGGACAUGAUGUACUAGGUAAAAGGAACGAGGGUAAAUAGGCCUUUAGUGAUGUAACAGUAAGAAGUAGAG